UUUGGAUCCGGUUUGAAUCCGGUUUGGAUUCGGUUUGGAUUCGGUUUGGAUCCGGUUUGGAUUGGGUUUGGAUCGGGUUUGGAUCCGGCUUGGAUCCGGCUUGGAUCCGGCUUGGAUUCGGUUUGGAUUCGGUUUGGAUCCGGUUUGGAUCCGGUGAAGGUUCGUCCGUCUGCGGCUCAAAGUUCAGAGAAUAAUUCAGGGUUUUUAUCACAAUCACUGAACAUUUAACAUUAUUUUUAGUUCCAGGAUUUAAAAUUUUAUGCUGAAUUUAAACGUUUUUUAAUCUUCGUGGCACUGAUAUUUUUCUGUUUUAAUAUUUCAUAUUUUUUAUAGCUUGAAACAGAAUUUGGACAAAGUUUAACGGAGUCGGUCCGACUGAAUUUAAACCGAAACAAAUCAAAUCAAAACAUUUUUUGAGAAACUGCAACACAAAAACAAAAUAAAAUUUUAGAGAAUCUGAAACUAAAGUAUCAAUCUGAUACUGACUUGGUAUCAAUAGUAUUGAUAUUUGGGAUCGAUCAGCUCACCUGUAGCUCUUGUUCUGCGGAUCAUAAACCGUUUUAAUUAGCAAUAAAACCAAAUCAGAAAACCGUCGCUGUGUGAAGGCAGAACCAUCUGUAGCUUUUUGUUUUUUUUAAACUUAUACUUUUAUUAUUUUUAUAGAGCGUUAAUACAUCAAUGGUACAUAACACAGAUGUUCCCAUCUGUAGCUUUAAAAACCAAAGCAGUGGAAAAUGUUGAAAUAAAUAUUUAGCAUGUUGUUUACAUUUCUGGGCCAUUUGUAGUUUUUCUGUUAUAUUUCAGUGAAUAUAUUUGUUUAAUAAAUAAUGCUGAUGGUUUUCUAAACAAUUUAGAUUAAAAUAUUUGAAGAGUUGAAGACAUGGCAGCACAAUGACAGGAAACAGACAUUAAUGUUGUUUUUCUCACCUUUCCUGUUUGUUUCCAUGGUAACCACGCCGCUGUACUCUGAAGCUAUAGUACUGAGUUACCUAGAUCUAUAUCCGCUGUGGGCAUUAAAGACGGAAAUAAUAUAUUAUUAAUAAUCAGAAGUUCAGCACGUUAACCUCUGACCUGAUUUUCUAUCAUGAGACGAUUUUUUAUAUUUAUCAACUGAAAAAAAACCCAAUGAAAAUGUAAAAUAUGGUUAAAGUUUAUAUUUGAUGGGUCAUAAAUUAGGUUUGACGGAUUCAGUCACUCGUCAAACGGCGAAUCAGCCGCGUGUUUCUGACGCCUCCAGCUGAUAAACAAGAUUUAUUUUUAUUAACUUUCAGCCUGAACCUGUGAACUGAACGUCAGAUUUAACAGCCAGCAGUUUAUUUUUCUCUUGGUGAAAACAGUUAAAUAUUCCUGAGGAGAAUAAAAUGUGUUUAAAAAGA